rnacentral:rRNA from 1 species
AUUGAACGCUGGCGGCAGGCUUAACACAUGCAAGUCGAGCGGAGAUGAGGUGCUUGCACCUUAUCUUAGCGGCGGACGGGUGAGUAAUGCUUAGGAAUCUGCCUAUUAGUGGGGGACAACAUUCCGAAAGGAAUGCUAAUACCGCAUACGUCCUACGGGAGAAAGCAGGGGAUCUUCGGACCUUGCGCUAAUAGAUGAGCCUAAGUCGGAUUAGCUAGUUGGUGGGGUAAAGGCCUACCAAGGCGACGAUCUGUAGCGGGUCUGAGAGGAUGAUCCGCCACACUGGGACUGAGACACGGCACAGACUCCUACGGGAGGCAGCAGUGGGGAAUAUUGGACAAUGGGGGGAACCCUGAUCCAGCCAUGCCGCGUGUGUGAAGAAGGCCUUAUGGUUGUAAAGCACUUUAAGCGAGGAGGAGGCUACUGAGACUAAUACUCUUGGAUAGUGGACGUUACUCGCAGAAUAAGCACCGGCUAACUCUGUGCCAGCCGCCGCGGUAAGAC